rnacentral:lncRNA from 1 species
CGCGACUAGUCGGUCGUUGCGGGCAGCAGCCCGACAGACUCGGUGACCAGUUCCGCCACUACUGCUCAGCCGCAGACAUGUCCAACGUCGACCGCUGCCAACGCCGCGAGGGGAUUUAUUUACACAGAUACCUUGAGCGGUUACUUAGAUCAGUUGUUAUUGACACGUCUUAGGCCGUUGCGCUAUGCUCUAGCUUCAGCAUUAUUACUGACUGGGAAAACGUUGGCGUGGUGCCUUUGUUGUCGCUUAUCGCACUAGUCUCGCGGUACAAACGGGCGAGAUAUUAAUCAGGAAUGCGUUUUCCGAGCCGUCAUCACUGGUAGCAUGCCAUGUGUUACCUCGGAACUUAGUUUCAUUGAUGCAUUCGAUGUGCUGCACAAGGAAAAUGCUUUUUCCGCCCCUAGCUGUGUUACAAAACUGUCCUAUAGUGAGUCGAGCUGUGGGGACGAGCGACUCACGUUAUUACUUUCACGUGCCACAAUGUUGCAUCCCCGGCGACAGAAAUAAGAAGGGGGCGUAAACGGAUGCAAUAUCAACGGAGACGUUAACUUGGAAAUUUAUCAGGUUCACCGAACCGGGAAUGAACUUUGGAAGGGACAGAACUGGGUCGCAAGCUGAUGACCUCACCCUUUCGCCGGGAAAGAAAACUGCCUGCCGAGCCAGCCUAUUGUGUCGGCAUCACGGAAACCUCUUCUGGUGUUGCCGCGUGAUAAAGUGGCGUGUAAAUAUGUCGGCACACCCGCAGCCUGCUCAUACUGGCGCACUCAUUCAGCGCUAGUAGGGAGGAAAGCAUUCUCUCUGGCGUGCGAUGGCCGGGUGAAGGCCCCAGAGCAGAAAGAAGGCUCGUAGUUGUCUGGGCGGCAGUGUUAUGUAGAUGACAGCGCCAAAUGGACCAAGGUUUCUACCUGUUUGAGCGAAUGCAGGGGAGCAUACACGGCAAGCUUAGUGCGAAGUUGUUGAGACGGUGAAUACUCCAGUAGCCAAGGCAUGAAAUGUUGAACAUUUUAUUUGGUGAACUUGUGCCCAGCAGAUCAAGUGACGCUCAUACUACAAGGAAAGCGGCGACCAGAAUCGCCGGUCAUCGAGAUCACCAACGCUUCGGUUACUUAUGCAUGUGUCGAGGCAGACUCAACAAUAAUCUGUGGCGCUCGCGAACGAUUCAGAAUGACCUGCAUCUUUGGCGCCCGUCAAUGCAAUACAAUUAAAACCAACCAAAACAUUCGCGAAGGCUUCGAUACAGCGAGACGCAGCUUGCACCUACCGAUAGCACGACCGACGGCAAGACCAUGUUAGCCAAUGAAACCUGGUCACAGUGAAGAACGAAACCAAA